rnacentral:rRNA from 1 species
CACUCCUACGGGAGGCAGCAGUGGGGAAUUUUGGACAAUGGGCGAAAGCCUGAUCCAGCAAUGCCGCGUGAGUGAAGAAGGCCUUCGGGUUGUAAAGCUCUUUUGUCAGGGAAGAAACGGUGAAAGCUAAUAUCUUUUGCUAAUGACGGUACCUGAAGAAUAAGCACCGGCUAACUACGUGCCAGCAGCCGCGGUAAUACGUAGGGUGCAAGCGUUAAUCGGAAUUACUGGGCGUAAAGCGUGCGCAGGCGGUUUUGUAAGUCUGAUGUGAAAUCCCCGGGCUCAACCUGGGAAUUGCAUUGGAGACUGCAAGGCUAGAAUCUGGCAGAGGGGGGUAGAAUUCCACGUGUAGCAGUGAAAUGCGUAGAUAUGUGGAGGAACACCGAUGGCGAAGGCAGCCCCCUGGGUCAAGAUUGACGCUCAUGCACGAAAGCGUGGGGAGCAAACAGGAUUAGAAACCCGGGUAGUCCC